GGGCCCGCACAAGCGGCGGAGCAUGCGGAUUAAUUCGAUGCAACGCGAAGAACCUUACCAAGGCUUGACAUGAACCGGAAAUACCUGGAAACAGGUGCCCCGCUUGCGGUCGGUUUACAGGUGGUGCAUGGUUGUCGUCAGCUCGUGUCGUGAGAUGUUGGGUUAAGUCCCGCAACGAGCGCAACCCUCGUUCUAUGUUGCCAGCGCGUUAUGGCGGGGACUCAUAGGAGACUGCCGGGGUCAACUCGGAGGAAGGUGGGGACGACGUCAAAUCAUCAUGCCCCUUAUGUCUUGGGCUUCACGCAUGCUACAAUGGCCGGUACAAAGGGUUGCGAUACUGUGAGGUGGAGCUAAUCCCAAAAAGCCGGUCUCAGUUCGGAUUGGGGUCUGCAACUCGACCCCAUGAAGUCGGAGUCGCUAGUAAUCGCAGAUCAGCAACGCUGCGGUGAAUACGUUCCCGGGCCUUGUACACACCGCCCGUCAAGUCACGAAAGUUGGUAACACCCGAAGCCGGUGGCCUAACCCCUUGUGGGAGGGAGCUGUCGAAGGUGGGACUGGCGAUUGGGACU
rnacentral:rRNA from 1 species